ACUGCCACGUCAUCACAUACGUCGCCCAUCAUGAACGGUCCAGAUUCAACGAGGUUGAAAGGAAGGGAAAUCCUUAAGACGGGACCCCAUUCGCAGUCUCACUCCAGUUCUUCGUCUCCGAGAGAAAUGGCUUCAUGGAAUUCAGUUCCUAUGGAGAUCCUCUACCAGCUAUUAGGAUGGAGUGCUAUCAUAUGCUGGGCGCUCGCCUCAUAUCCGCAGAUCAUUCUGAAUUUCUGGCGAAAAAGUGUUGUAGGAUUGAGCUUUGAUUUUGUGAUGCUGAAUUUCACGAAGCAAUCGUCGUAUUUGAUUUACAACGCGAGUCUGUUCUUCAGCGCUACUGUUCAGAGGCAGUACUUCGAGAAAUACGGCUUCGAUCAGAUGAUACCGGUGGCUUUGAGCGAUGUGUUCUUCCCCUCGCACUCGAUUUUAUUGAUCUUCAUCGUUUCAGUUCAGAUCUUUUUAUUUGAAUGUGGCGACCAGAAGGUCUCGAACUCAGCCGUCGCCAUCUUCGCUGCAGUAUGGGUUUUUGCAGCUGCUUGCUUUUUUAUAGCUCUGCCUACUCAUUCAUGGCUUUGGCUUGUCUCCAUGUUCAAUUCAAUUCAAGUUCUUAUGACAGUCAUCAAAUACUCCCCUCAGGCAUUUUUGAACUUUACCCGAAAGAGCACGAUGGGAUUCAGCAUUCAUACUGUAGUUCUAGACUUCAUUGGAGGAGUGGCCACUUUGACUCAAAUGGGCGUGCAGUCAAUUGACCAAGGUUCUUGGGUGAACUUCUUUGGAAAUAUAGGGAAGCCAUUGUUAGCUUCAGUCUCUAUAGUGUUUGAUCUGAUUUUCUUCUAUCAACAUUUUGUAUUAUAUCGUGUCAAGGCAUCAAAGGUUUCAUCUCAACGUGACCCUGAAAGCACUGAGGCAUUGCUUGAGAACUCUGAUCACUUGCAAGGGAUUGCCACAACCAAUUGAUAUUUGAUGGUAUUGCUUCCACCUCUUAGCUUAUUUUCGUGCCAAGAGGCGCAACAACGUAGCCCGGUAAAUUAGGAGAUUGGUGGCUAAGAUUGAGCAUUCUGGCGCUUGGGUUUGUCACUGACAUUAUUCUUGUGCGUGAUGAUUGGUGUUUAUUUUAGUUGGAUUCAAGUAUUUUUGAUGUUGAAUUGAGUCUGUUUUUGGCUGCUGGAGUUUAAGAAUGUAAAAAUAUAUUAUUCUCGACUCAAAAGCACGGUUAAGAAUGUAAAAAUAGAUAUCGAAGUAAUUCUUUAUCGACUUUUGAAGUACUUAUAAUUAAAGCAUUUUACAUAAAAGCACUUUUUGUAGCAUUAUCGAACAAGUACAAAACGACGUUCGAUUUUUCACUUUGAACAACCUAUCUUCACAGUCCACAUGCCAUUUUUUUCGGUUCUUCAGGAGAAUUAUAUGAUUUUACUGUGGAGUUGGUGACCUCUAUAAUUUCUCCUUGAUGAUUGAUGAUGAAAUUGUGUCUUUUUGUAUGAAGCUCAUAAUACCUGCUUGUUCUUAGUUGUUGAGAUCUUGCGCCUUUGUUGACCUGUAAUUGAUUUUUCUUUUGUUC